rnacentral:snRNA from 1 species
GUACUUACCCAGCAGGGGGUAGCCAGUGACCAAAGAGAUGGUUUUCCUAGGGCGAGGCUCCAACAUUAUACUUGGGGUUUGCUGACCCCCGUGACCACCCCGAAUGCGGGACCUUACACUCUGUGAUAGAGAGGGACUGCAUUUGUGUUCUUCCCUG